rnacentral:rRNA from 1 species
UACAGAGGGUGCGAGCGUUGUUCGGAAUUAUUGGGCGUAAAGGGCGCGUAGGCGGUGCGGUAAGUCACCUGUGAAAUCUCCUGGCUCAACUGGGAGCUUGCAGGCGAAACCGCCGUGCUGGAGUGUGGGAGAGGUGCGUGGAAUUCCUGGUGUAGCGGUGAAAUGCGUAGAUAUCAGGAGGAACACCUGUGGCGAAAGCGGCGCACUGGACCACAACUGACGCUGAGGCGCGAAAGCUAGGGGAGCAAACAGG